rnacentral:misc_RNA from 1 species
UCAAAUUUGGCACGAAUAUUAUUAAGAAGUCGGGUCAACAUAUAGGCUACAUUUUAUCAUGCUAUCACGUACCGGGAACGAGCAGUGAACCUUUAUUUCCUCAACGCAUUCUGCAACAACGUGUAAUCUAACGACGCAUAUUUGAAUGUUGUUGUUAUUAUGUUAAUAACCAUGAUAUAUUAAGCCGAUAAACAUAAUUAAAUGAAUAUAAGUAGACUAGACAAUUUUAAAGCAGCACCAUCUAUGAGAUUUUUCUGUAGAUAUGAAAUGUAAAGAAGAAACGGGUAAAUGAAUGUUAUUUUAAAAGUUAUAAUCGUAGGUAUUUUUGGUGCUGUAUAGCGUUCACGCAGACGACGUCGCGGGCAGCAGCUAGUAUUUAUAUAUAAAUGUAGAA